GCCACGUUUCCUCUCCUUCAAAUUGCUCCGUAAGUUUAUAAGUACUCUUUUAAUCCGAGGGAAACUUUGGGAAAACGAAGCAUGAAGUACUUCUUGUUCUUCCUAUUGUUGUUUGUGGUUUGGAGUUCUCCAGGCAACUGUGAGUACCAGGAGUUUAAAAAGCUGGGUAAAUGCACGGACCACAGGAGAUGUGAAUCCGAUUGCAAGAAAAUGGGAGGUUGGAACGGAAGUUGUUACGAUAUGCCCAGAGGAUCUGACUACAGUCAGGAAUGUGUGUGUUUUACAUUUUAACGUAAAACGAAAUAAUUUAUGUACCUGUGACAGUAUUAUAAUAAAAUAUGUAUGAAUA